rnacentral:rRNA from 1 species
UACGUAGGGUGCAAGCGUUGUCCGGAAUUAUUGGGCGUAAAGAGCUCGUAGGCGGUUUGUUGCGUCGGCUGUGAAAUCCCGAGGCUCAACCUCGGGUCUGCAGUCGAUACGAGCAAACUAGAGUGUUGCAGGGGAGACUGGAAUUCCUGGUGUAGCGGUGAAAUGCGCAGAUAUCAGGAGGGAACACCGGUGGCGAAGGCGGGU